GAAGCAAUCUCAGAAAAUCCCGAAAUAAAAGGCCCACAUAGUAUUGUUAGUGGUGUUAAAAACAAAACAGGAUAAUAAUUUCAUAUAAACUAUAAACAGAGGAUUCCAACAAGCAUUAUAGAUGAAAGAGACAAUGAGAAAAAUUGAAAACAGUGUGUGAGGAGAGAGAUUAAAGAAGUAUGGGUGUUGAAAAUGGAAAUAUAGGCGGUCUGCGAUCUUGGGUGUGGUGGUUUGACAAGAUUCCAAUGACUUCUCAUCAUCAGCAACCCUAAUUUUGAUGGCUUACUGGUGCGUCAACCCAGAUUCCAGUAGCUCAACAAAUUCCGAGUCUAGUGGUUGUGUCUUUUGCCGAAGGAAGUGCUGGCAAGAGGUGGAAAUAAAUAAGGCGCACCUUUCUAGAGACUUGAGCUAGAACAAGUUGCAUGCCUAGGCACAUAAGGCAAGCACCUACUAAAGAUUGCCAGCCUUUUUCUUGUAGAGACGUUAGAGUUAGAGCCUUGUGAGUCUUGAGCUUGAGGCAUGCCUACGUCACACGUUUAAUAACACUAGAAUUGAUCCCCCACUCUGCCCUCCCCCCACACAAACAAAAUUUGAGGGAGUUCUAAUGAUUAAAUUAAGCACGCAAAGCACAUGGAUAGAUGAGUAUUUAUAUAGUUUAUAACGCAUUUGCUUAUUAUGGGGAAAAACUAUUUUUAGUUAAAAAUUCAGGAUCCAAUUUAGAAAAUUGAAGCAAUUACAAAUACACUCAUACCUGUGGAUCUCCUUGAGCCAUUUGUCUAUACAUGUUCUAUGAAAUUCAUGAUGGCAAGGCAGUAUCCGCAUGCUGUCCCCUUCCUCAUACUCCACAAGGCAUAUAUAGCAUUGAGCUGCCUCCUCAUGCUGUUGCUUUUGCAACUUCGUGUAUAAUUUGACUGGCAAAGAUUCCACUACUUCAGUAGGUGCAGGUACAGAUCCAAGUGACGACAUUGAUGGCCGAGAGGAUAGCACCACAGAUUGCUGGUGAAUUUCAUCCAGA
rnacentral:misc_RNA from 1 species